CGUUAGCGGCGGACGGGUGAGUAACACUGGGUAACCUGCCUAUAAGACUGGGAUAACUUCGGGAAACCGGAGCUAAUACCGGAUAAUAUUUCGAACCGCAUGGUUCGAUAGUGAAAGGUGGUUUUGCUAUCACUUAUAGAUGGACCCGCGCCGUAUUAGCUAGUUGGUAAGGUAACGGCUUACCAAGGCGACGAUACGUAGCCGACCUGAGAGGGUGAUCGGCCACACUGGAACUGAGACACGGUCCAGACUCCUACGGGAGGCAGCAGAU
rnacentral:rRNA from 1 species